GGCUCAUCUUUCUGUCCUUGAUGCGAGCCGACUGUUAGACAAGGCGGUGUGCUGAGCAGAUCUGAGUGCCUUGAUGUCUGGGGAAGGUGACCUGAGAUGGUUUUGACCACGAAGAGGAAGCAGGAGAGCUUGAGGGACCGCGGACCAUCAGUGGCUAGGGGUGCGAUUACUGCCACGGCAUGAGGUUGAGGUUCGGCUUUCUUGCUUCCCUACACGUCUUGUAGUUUCUCUAACUUUGGCUUGGCUUCCCAAAUAAUCUGAUUUGCACGUUCUGGCUUUGUGUUUUCUUUGGCUAUUUUUAGAUCCUUUAAUUCUGCUUUGCUGGCAGCUGCUCUUCCCCCAAACACUUGAAGAACUUCCAAUCCCACAGUCAGAGGAGGCAGAGCCUGGGGGCUGGGAAGCCGCCUUCUUCCUGCCGUUUGGGACCGGCCUCAGGCGCGGCAGGGCACCCUCGGCCCACCGCAGGCCUCCUCCGCGGGAGCCUUCCAGCUGCGCCUUUCUCACGUGGUGCCGUGCUGGAGCUCAAGUCGGGGGACAGCGUGGUGAGCGUGGGCCCGCUCGCUCUUUCCGAAAAUGUCUCCGACGCCACGGAAGGCAGAGCUACAGAGAGACAGAGGCAGAAGGAGAGAGAGAGAAGUCUUCCAGCUGCUGAUUGAUUACCCAGAUGGCUGCAAUGGCCAGAGCUGUGCCAGUCCAAAACCAGGAGCCAGGAGCUUCCUCCGGGUCUCCCACACAGGUGCAGGGGCCCAAGGACUUGGGCCAUCUUCCACUGCUUUCCCAGGCCACAGCAGAGAGCCAGAUCGGAAGUGGAGCAGCCAGGACUCGAACCAGUGUCCACAUGAGAUGCCAGCACUGCAGGCUGCAGCCCUACCUGAGCUCCUAGGGUAAUGUCAAAUCUUUUCAACCAAUUUGUAUGUAUAAUUUAUUAUUAUUAAAUAUUUAUAAAUGAAGACAAUUCUCAUGACGUAUUGGUGAAGUCAAGUCACUGCUACACGAAAUACAUGUACUGUUUCUGUGCGUGUAAAGCACAAGAGAGCAAGGACGAGCUGGAGCCCAUGAGGAGGAGUGAAACGCCCGUCUGUGCUCACUGCCUUGGCUUGGUGGUAUGGACAACCUGCAGAAGCUGAGCCCCUCAUUAACAAAUGAAACACACCUGGUCAGAAGCGGCUACAGUCGAAGAAGGAUCUUGGAGAAGGAGGGGCAGUCACAGAACCAACCACUGCCCUACACGAGGAGCUGAGCCGGCAGCUACGUGAGAACACGUGUGAACUAAGGAACACCUGCCGCCUCCAUUCUGCCCACAGGAACCUCUCUGUGGAUGGCUCUGACCAGAGACAGACAGAAAAGGAAACUCUCAGAAGUGUGGUUCAGCCUAAAGGGGGACAUAUUACAAAGUCGCUGUACUCCUCUUCCUGAACUCUUGUCACUGAAAUGCACCUGUCAAAUCCAAACUUAGUCUCCAGAUAAUGUGAACAAGUCAUGCUUCCCUAACAUGAUACAGCUAUGUGGUGUAUAAACGGCCACAUUCGCACUCUCUAAACGAACACACAGGGUCCUCUUCCAUCUAGAAUCGUUCUUUCUUCUCCUAAGAGAUUCACACACUCCUUUAAUGACCUCAGCCUGAAAUUCUGAGCCACGAAGCUAACACUAAUGAACACAUUUUAGGUAUAAUAAGAGAUAGGCAAAGAAAUGUUUAAAAUUCAACAAAUACAUAUAUAAGCUUCCAUUUCAAAAUACAGACUAUUCAUCACCGCUGUCUUACAUGCAGCUAGUCACAGGGCCAUAGCUGUUAUUUCUAAGUACCACGCUUCACUGCACGUCCCACAUUCCUGCUGCCUUUAACAAGUUCCUCAGCUGGUCACGGUUCCUUGCCUAGCCGGGGACUCAGGUUUACUGUUGCAGGUUUUGGGGCCAUCAGUACCUCUGCCUCAGUUGGGCAGCUCAGUUUACAUCACAGUCCAUGGAACACUAAGAGAUGUCCCAGAGUGUCUUCUGUAUUCCAUGCAUAAUCCUCCUUUCCUCGCUUGUGGGAUAGCAGCCCCGUUUCCCCGCUAGGCAGGAUUGAGGAUCCCAGCCCGUGGAGCACCCUCCUUUUUCAUCUGUUGAUUCACUAGCACAAUGAGCCCCAAACAGCCAGAUAGAAAUCUAAAAUUCCAGUUCAAUGGGAUAAUUGUUUCACAGUUAGUAAAGGGUUUCUCCCUUAAGAGCUAUCUUAGCUUGUCAUCUAUACAGCAAAAUAUUUGAGGCAGCUGACCUAAUAACGAGAAAGGGUUCAAGUCCAUGACUGGGUGGCCCCCUUGGUUCAGUGUCUGAUGAUGGCAGUAGUGGGGGUUACAUAGAGAGUUAAGUGGUGAGCCAGGAAGCAGAAAGAGAGAAAGACGCAGGGGGGCCCAAAUCAGGCUUUAUAGCCAACACUCCAGCGAGAAUUACCUUCCAUGGGCAUGGCUCCAAUUACCUAAAGACUUUCCUCUGGGCUCACCUCCUAAAUACCAUAAUUGCAUGGCAUUUCCAUCCCCUUAGAGCCAUUAAUUUAGAACUUUGGGGUCUAAACCUCUGUAUGAGUUCAAACCACAUGUUAAAGCCACUGGCACCACAGAACCUAAAGCUGAAGGGAAACAAAAUUUUGCUACUGGAUUUCUAGGUAUGAUAUUGAGUGGUGCUACUCCCAUUUUCAGCACUUGGUUCUUACACCUGUGGCUCCUGGCUAGGGGAGAAAGAGCCCUGUCCGCUGGGUGCUGAUUUAGAGCACCUGCUGCAUCUUGGAGGCUAUUGCCCCACCCCUUCAAUAUUUUGCCACCUAUGAAGCGCUGUUAAGGAGUCUCCCAAAGGACAUUCCAUCAUCCAGCCAAGCCAGUCCUUUUAAGAUGAUAGGGAACAUAACUGAUGAGUUUCAGGAAGUCCAGGAACAUAAUAGAUCCAUUGUUGUCCUUUAUUUUUUAUUAAGCAAGUUCCUUGUUUGGAAGUCUGUUUGCAAUACAAUGAAGGGAGGUAAGGCACUCAGUUAAGUUCACAGAUGGUAGAGUUGGAAGAAACAUUGCAGGCAAGGAAGGCAAAACUUUGUCCAGAGUAAGUGGCUAAGAACAGAAUAUUCUCUCUUCCCUAAUGGAAGUGGCCCAACGUAGUAAUCUGCCACCCAGUCCUUAUACAAAGUGAAUGGUGCCAUAUUAAGGGCUCAGAGUUGAUCUUUGCUGUUGGAAGAUUGGCCACCUAGCAGUGGUUGCGAGCAGAUUAGUACUGGUGACUAGAAUUCCAUAUCCCUGGGGCCAGCACUGUGGGAAAGCUGGUUAAGCUGCUGCCUGCAGCACUGACAUCCCAUAUGGCACCUGUUCAAUUCCUGGCUGCUCCAUUUCCAAUCCAGCUUCCUGCUAAUGCACCUGGGAAAGCAGUGAUGGAUGGCCCAAGUGGUUGGGCCCCUGCACCCAAGUGGGAGACCCAGAAGAGUCUCUGGCUCCUGGCUUUGGUCCAAUCCAGCCCUGGCCAUUGUGGCCAUUUUGUGGGUGAAGCAGUGGAUAAAAGAUCUCUCUAAGUCUUUCAAAUAAAAAAUAAAUAAAACUUAAAAGAACCCCAUGUUCCUGAGCUACAGGGUACAUGGUGCACAUCCAUUGGCCAAUGACAGGAGUGGCUUGGGCAAAAUGCUAACUAGCAUCUACAGAAUGGGUCAUCCUCAUCCUAUCCACUUAUUAAAUUCUUCUCUGGUAGGACUACCUUUGGUGAGCAUUUGUGCAUUAGUUACCACUAUGUUCACUCCACUUACAUCUGGGGAGGCCUUUCCUCACGCCCUUCCACCCAGACCUUGCCAUUUAUUUCCCAAUCUUAUUCUUUCUAAGUCUCCGACUAUCCAGUCAAAACAUCAGCUACAGCCCAUGAGCCAGUUUAGGUCCGUACCAUCUCUCCUUCUUGGCAAAAUGAACAACAUUCCCUGACCAAAGUGCUACCCAGUGGCAGUAUUUCCUUUCUUCACUGGCCUUCUGGCCCAUUCCAGUGUGGGGUUGUAGUUGCAGCCGCCCUCUUUCAUGUGGGUUGUCAUCGCUAACCCAUUCCUGAAGGCUUUUUCUCUGCCUGUUAAAUAAGUUUAAGGAAUUUCCCCAUGAGGUGGAAAGAGAGAAGGCAAUGUGGCAGACACAGGGGCCAUGAGGAUCUGGGCCACCUUCUCAUACACUUGAGUUCUCAGGAUCUUCCCAAGCCUGAUUCACAUAUACCACUUCCACUGGGUGAUGGGCUGCAGCUGUGAAGGAUGCUGUUUAUGGCUUGAUAAGUCAGACAACCCCAAGUUCACAGUCAGUAGCUUAGUCCCAGGGCUCCAAGCCAGAAAAGAUGGCUAUUUCUCCAAAAGAGAGUCGUUAUCUGUAGGGGAUGACAAAACUUUGCUCCCAAAUCCUAAGGGUCUGCUCUAUGAUUCAUGUAGUGUUGCCCUUGGAAGCCCUCCAUGCGUCAUUGCUAUCAAUCACUGACACUUCAUGCAUAAACAUGUGACUUAUAUGGUCCAAGUGGUGGAGCAGCCUGGGAUAUCCUUCAGAUCCUCUUGUUCUGCAACCCACUCCAAACCACCAGGUUUUUGAGUUGCUUGGAAAGUGAGCCCAGUACAACAACGUAUUCCUCACCUUGAAUGAGAUAUCGCAAAAUGCCUUGGAGAAUGGAAUUCCACAAAUGGUUUUGUGGGGCUUAUUUCUCUCCCACUGAUGCAAACAUUAUCUCCCUGUGCCUAAAAUAGUGACCAUAUGUCCAGUCAGUGUAAGAUCAUCAACGUAUAGGGCCAGAAGGAGGUCCCGUGAACGGGAAACUGGCCAAGUCUCUGCGGACUAGAGCAUGGUGUAGAGAUGAAGCUUCCCUAGCCUUGAAGUAGAAUAGUUCAGUUCUGUCAUUGGCCUUGCCAACUCAAAAAAACAUGCUUUUGAUGGUUUCAUUAAUAGAUUUAGAGAAAAGGGCGUUUGCCAGAUCAAUGGACACAUAUCAGGUGACAGAGGAUGUGUUGAUUUGCUCCUACAACAAAUUCCAUCUGGUAGAGCAGCUGCAAUUGAAGUCACCACCUGAUUAAGUUUAAGGUAAUUCACUGUCAUUCUCCAAGCUCCAUCUGUCUUCUACACAGGCCAACUCUAUUAGACUGGUUAUAUGGGGGAUGUGGUGGGUAAUCACCAGGCCUGUAUCUUUCAAGUUCUUUGUGCUGACACUAAUCUUUACUGUGUCUGCAGAAAUGUGGUAUGGUUUGCUCCUCAAAGUAGAGGAAGCACUAGUGGCUUGUGGAGCCACUAUGUGGAGCUUCCAUAGCAGUCCAUGCUGCACAGGUUAGGGAACCGGUGUGGAGGUUCUGCUCCGUGUGUCUGUGCUAACUCUGCUCUCCAAAACUGCAGAGGAAUGGCAGCAAGUUGAUUUCAGAGCCUACUGGGAUCACUGUGAGAUGGAAAUGAACCAAAGCUCUAUUAGUCAUUUGUCCUUCAGAAACGCCUGCUCUGGUGGGCUGCAGUGACAUUUCAGACAUCCAGAACUGAGUGCAGAUUUAGACCCAGUGUCUCAUAAUCCCUGAAAAGUCUGAUUGCUUCUAUUUCCCUGAUGCGCAUUUGGGUAAGUGCCCACUGAGCUUUUUAGAAAAGAUAGGACAGCAGUACACAGGAUCAAUUUUUGAAGGAGAUAAGGUUCCUUCUUCAAGAACUCACUUUUAUCAAAGAAAUAUUACGUCAUAUCUCUUAAUCAGCAUGGCAGCUAACUUCCCCUUAACUACUUUACCCCAUUAUUGUCAGCUCAUUUUUGCACUGAGGUGAGUAACCUGGGAGAGGAUGCCAGUGUCGCUUGGAUUUUGUCCCUGUGAGCAGAGCAGCUCCAUCUCUAGCUUCCUCUUCGGUGCAGGGCCACUGCUUUAUGAAACCUGUGAGUCCUGAAGGGACUGUUAGCACUUGGCCCAUAGUAGGCUUGCAAUAAAUCGUUGGAAUCCAUUCUUACUGUUAGACCUAACCAUAGGAGUGUAAAAUCCACGUUCAUCCUAUUAGUUUGAAUGCUUUCGAGAGUUUUUUUUUCUUUUAGUUUGUUAAUCUCUCCCUAUAUAGCUUAACUUUUGUGUCAUCAGCAAAGUAAAUCUUUCCUGUCCCUUUGCUUUUCCUUCAGAGUUGAAAUCGCAGAGCUGUUGUCUCUGGCAUCUCCAGGCCCAGCCAUGACUGGCUUACUCCUGGGCAAGACUCCAUGCAGGUGCACUUGCGUGGCGAGUGGUGUGUACCAUAACCGACUUCGCUCUUCAUCUCUACAUGUAGCUUCCCGUGCAUAAAGAUCAACCUUCCAUAAUCACUCAGUGACUAUGAGGUAUGGACCUAGGGAGGAACCAUCCAAUGACCACUGGGUCCUGCAUGUAGUAUUUACUUGCUCGGUUUUAAAAAUGUCUUCAGAAAUACCACAAUUCAUUAUAAUUUUAUAAAUAAACAGGGGAUAGUACAAUACAAAAAAUCCAGGGUAGUCCAGUGCUUUAAAGCCAAAUGGUCUGCCUAAGGGCAAUGUAUCCAGUUUCUUGGUUUCCCCUGCUGUCAGAUAGGAACUAUUAUGCCUGUCCCAAAGGUUGGCUGUGAGGAUUAAAGGAACAAAUGUUUUAAAUCUCUUUGAACAGCUCUUGGCAUAGUGUAUGUGUGCUUAGUAAGUGUUUGCCCAUUGAGGCGGGUGUUCUCAGUGUGCUGUGGUUAUGUAUUAUCAUGAUGGAUGCUGGGGGCAGGGUACUGGGAACUGUGGGAACUGUAUUUGCAACUUCAUGGUGGUCUUUUGGUC